rnacentral:rRNA from 1 species
GACUGGUGAGUAACACGUGGGUAACCUGCCUGUAAGACUGGGAUAACUCCGGGAAACCGGGGCUAAUACCGGAUGGUUGUUUGAACCGCAUGGUUCAAACAUAAAAGGUGGCUUCGGCUACCACUUACAGAUGGACCCGCGGCGCAUUAGCUAGUUGGUGAGGUAAUGGCUCACCAAGGCAACGAUGCGUAGCCGACCUGAGAGGGUGAUCGGCCACACUGGGACUGAGACACGGCCCAGACUCCUACGGGAGGCAGCAGUAGGGAAUCUUCCGCAAUGGACGAAAGUCUGACGGAGCAACGCCGCGUGAGUGAUGAAGGUUUUCGGAUCGUAAAGCUCUGUUGUUAGGGAAGAACAAGUACCGUUCGAAUAGGGCGGUACCUUGACGGUACCUAACCAGAAAGCCACGGCUAACUACGUGCCAGCAGCCGCGGUAAUACGUAGGUGGCAAGCGUUGUCCGGAAUUAUUGGGCGUAAAGGGCUCGCAGGCGGUUUCUUAAGUCUGAUGUGAAAGCCCCCGGCUCAACCGGGGAGGGUCAUUGGAAACUGGGGAACUUGAGUGCAGAAGAGGAGAGUGGAAUUCCACGUGUAGCGGUGAAAUGCGUAGAGAUGUGGAGGAACACCAGUGGCGAAGGCGACUCUCUGGUCUGUAACUGACGCUGAGGAGCGAAAGCGUGGGGAGCGAACAGGAUUAGAUACCCUGGUAGUCCACGCCGUAAACGAUGAGUGCUAAGUGUUAGGGGGUUUCCGCCCCUUAGUGCUGCAGCUAACGCAUUAAGCACUCCGCCUGGGGGAGUACGGUCGCAAGACUGAAACUCAAGGAAUUGACGGGGGCCCGCACAAGCGGUGGAGCAUGUGGUUUAUUCGAAGCACGCGAAGACCUUACCAGGUCUUGACAUCUCUGACAUCCUAGAGAUAGGACGUCCCCUUCGGGGCAGAGUGACAGGUGAUGCAUGCUGGUCGUCAGCUCGUGUCGUGAGAUGUGGGUAGUCCCGCACCGAGCGCACCCUGAUCUAGUGGCAGCAUCAGUGGGCACUCUAGGU